rnacentral:lncRNA from 1 species
AACUAGAUAUUAUAUUCUAAUUCAUUCGUAUUUGACCUUAGCCUGCAGGCUGAUUUUUUUGAAAAAAAAAAAAUACACGUACUAUUACAGACUGACUCAUUCUUCUUACCUUCAUUUCAAUCCACGUUACGACUUGCUUCGACUAGUUCAAUGCAAAUCCCAAAAACCACUACCAAAAUACAAUUUUAUUUUCUUUUGUAAAAAAAGUAGUUGGCUUUACUCCUAUAAUCCUACUUGAAUUCCAACUUCAAGCUCAACAAUCUGAGUCAAGAAGCUAAAAAGGAGGAUAAAAAUGGUAACUUUCCUUUCGUUUUGAAAUUUUAUAGUGGGAAAAAGAAAGAAAAAACGAGGAAUGAAAAUUUCACUAAGGUUUUAGUUUUAGCCUUUGUUCUGUUGUUUAAGAGAGGAAGCAACAGUAUGUGCCCACCAUUUAAGACUAUGUUUAACGUCAAUUUCAUUGCUGGUGGCAGGUACUUUCCAUUUCAUCAAUGAAGUCAUUUUCUUCUUCCUUUCUAAAGCUUCCCAUGCUUCAGAAAGAUAAGGCCUG